rnacentral:rRNA from 1 species
AUGAACGCUGGCGGUAGGCUAACCAUGCAAGUCGAACGGCAGCACAGGAAGCUUGCUCUCUGGGUGGCGAGUGGCGGACGGGUGAGGAAUACAUCGGAACUACUCUGUCGUGGGAUAACGUNAGGGAAACUUACGCUAAUACCGCAACGAUACGGGUGAAAGCAGGGGACCUUCGGGCCUUGCGCGAUUGAAUGAGCCGAUGUCGGAUUAGCUAGUUGGCGGGGUAAAGGCCCACCAAGGCGACGAUCCGAGCUGGUCUGAGAGGAUGAUCAGCCACACUGGAACUGAGACACGGUCCAGACUCCUACGGGAGGCAGCAGUGGGGAAUAUUGGACAAUGGGCGCAAGCCUGAUCCAGCCAUACCGCGUGGGUGAAGAAGGCCUUCGGGUUGUAAGCCCUUUUGUUGGGAAAGAAAUCCAGCUGGCUAAUACCCGGUUGGGAUGACGGUACCAAAGAAUAAGCACCGGCUACUUCGUUGCCAGCAGCC